rnacentral:lncRNA from 1 species
UUUCCAGCUCCGACUCGCGCCCGGCGGGCGGCGGCAGUCACGUGGCGCCGUAUCCCGGAGCGGCCGCCGCGGUUCGGCCGGGCGUCGAGGGGCCGCGGACGGUGCUGGGAGCCUCCGCGUCGGCGCCUUCAUUCGUUUCCCCCCUCGGACUCGCGCUCGCUGCGGGCGCCGGCGGGGAGGCGCGGCCUCUCGCCUGACGGCGGGAAAGAAAACCGGACCCGCGGCUGAGCCUCCAUCCCCAUCCCCUCUCCAGGCGAGGCCUACAGACCAAUCCGCAGGCCGGAUCAAGUGGCGCCCAACGUGGGGCUCGACCUGGCACGAGGGAUAUCAACGCGGGACCGCUCACGGGAGUAAAUCGCCGGCUGGCAUGACUGUUCUGGGACUUCGUCCCUGUGAUCCAUGCAGACGGCCGCCUUACGUCUCGCCUGAAUCACGAUGGUGCAACCGCUCAAAACUUUAUGGACCAUCGUUGGACUUCUGACACAACUACAUCUAACGGAUAGCAACCCCCAUCAACCCUGGAAAUGGGAGCUUAGCUGCUGGAAGGACCAACAGAGGAUCAUGACACUCAUUAAUAACAAGGUUGAUGCAUUUAUGGCGAAGCCCACUCAGGUACAUUACCAUCUACAUUGGAAAUGGCAGAACAACAAACUUACCGGGAAAGAACACCCACCGACAGCCCACAUGAUACUGUGGCCCAAAUGCCCUGAGGCACUGGACAGGCAGCCAGAGACGGGCAACUAGGACACAUAUGUUCCUAUGACAGGCCCAGGACCAGCGGCAGUCCUGCAGGCCCACGACGGGUAAGGCUCGAUUGGGUUCAUGUGAGGAGUCCUUGACCCAAGACAGGUGCUGUCCUCACAGGGCCUGCCAUACUCCUAAAAAAUAUAUAAUAAUGUGGGAGGAGAUGUAGGGGGCAGUUGAGAAUGGCUGCCGCUGCCCUGCCCCUCCCACCCGAGGGCAUUGUGUGUGUCAGCCUACGUUUCCCACGAUCCUCCCCUUGCCUGCUGUGUGCCACGGCAUAUGAGCACAUCCAAGCCGGCCCAUCCUGGGAAGCCAUGUCCCCUUUGACUAUGUAACCCAUGUUUACUUCCUGAAUAAAGGGGCUUGAUUGGAAUUGGUCGUCUUGCCCUGUCUCUCUUCUCUUGCCCAGCCCUCCAUCCCCGUCCCCUCUCCAGGCGAGGCCUACGGACCGAUCCGAGGGCCGGAUCAGGGGUGUGCACUGAAAUGUGUCACACAGUUGCUGCAGCGGGGUUUUGUGUUUAGACGCUCUUGCCAUGUAACCUAGGCUGACCUUGGACUCCCAGGUGCCCUCCUGCUCAGCCUCCUGAGCGCUGGCAUUCCAGGUGUGCACCUCCACACCCAGUCUGUGAAGACUUAAAUGUCAGAAGUGACCGAUGUUUUCCCCAGAAGCCUUAGAAAGAAAGUCAGGCUGAGGGUUCAGCUCAGCGCCACAAGCAGCUGCCUGGCAAGUGCAAGGUCGUGAGUUUGAUCCCCGG